rnacentral:lncRNA from 1 species
GUAGGAGCAGCAACCACUUGGAGGUGGUCCUUUAACCAAACCUGAGUAAUGGAUCCUUUCUAUUACAAAGGAACGAACCAAAAGAAAGAAGAAAAAAGGAAGAGAAAAAAAAGGGAAAUACCUGGAGAAUAAUCGGAGAGACCGUCCAGUCAUCGAAGCCUAAAGCAGCUCUGUCAAGGCUCCUGAUAGUCUCUGCCAGCACAAUGCCACCGAUGCAACCCAUAUCCUCCAUCUGUCGAAUCAUGGGGCAGAGUCGCAAAUCCCCAAAGCCUGGGCCCUUGUUGAACAAGAAACCAGCUAAUAAGCAGAAAACCAAGGCCCGCAUCCUCAGCCUCAUCUGGUCUGGGUCAUCUGGUCGAGUCUCUGAAAAUUCAUCAAUCAGUGGUAGCAGAAUUGCCUUCUGGUCAUCCACAACCGUGGCCCUAGCCUGUGGCCGGCUGAACUGGAAUAGACUUUCAAACAACCGUACCUCCCCAAAUUGAUCUUUUCUACCUUGGAGAGACUCUUAGUCCAAUUGUACAUACUAAUAAAACAGUAAGUGCAGAAACAUAAAAAAAAAUUUUCACAUUUUGGCUCCUAAGGCCCAAAAGUCCACAUUUGGCCACAAAGGCCCAAAAGUUCACAUUUUGGCCCCUAAGGCCCAAGAAAUUUUCACAAUUUGGCCCUAAAGGCCCAAAAAUUCCCAAUUUGGCCACAAAGGCCCAAAAGUUCACAUUUUGGCCCCUAAGGCCCAAGAAAUUUUCACAAUUUGGCCCUAA